rnacentral:misc_RNA from 1 species
AGAGAGAGAGAGAGAGAGUGGUGGCCUUUGGCAUAAGGGAUUAGGCUGUUGUACAACUUGAGAUGACUAAUAUUUUAGUAAAUGUAGAUUAAUAUGUGGGCUAGUUGGGGGAUGGUGUCUAAAUAAUCCCAAGUUUCAACCAUAUAUUAUGUUUAUAGACAUGCAUGCUGGUAUUCGGUCUAAAUGCUUGUAGCUGAAACUUUUAAUGUUCUAUUGUUUGGUUACGACGGAACCUUGUUCUUCCCCAUUGCCUCUUUUCUCUCCCUCAAUUUUUUUCCCUCAAGUUCUAUGCAUAAUAUAUGAGUUACCAUAAUAGAAACUUUGGAUUCCAAGAAGGAUUGUUUCUCUUACACUUACUCCUACAGUAUUAGAAAUAUGUCUCAUACACUUGCUCUAAAAUUCAUAUAAAAUUUUUGGUUGGUAGGAGGUUUCUGUUCUUGCAAAAUCAGUCCAGUCAUCUCAUAACAUUAAAAUGUUUCUGGUGUCUUUUCAUCAGAACGGUUUCUCUAAGUGUUCUUUAACGUCAUACCAUCGUUUAAAUUGAUGUUUACUUGUCCUUCAUGCAAGUUAAUGAUUGAAACUGUUUAGCUGAGGAGG